AUGCAGUCGUUUUAUUAUCUUAAUCAUAGCGAUAUGCAACAAAGUCGCUGUUUAAAAACAAGUGCUACUUUAUGUGAAAAUUUUUCACCCUAUUUCCGCGUUUAUCGAUUUUUUCUUCUUUAUUUUUUAUUAUUUUUUUCAUAUUUAUUUAAAGAGAGUUUUUGCUUUCAGGGUUUAACACAUCUAACGUCUUCUAAUCUUAGUCAAUUUACCAAAGAACAUUCCAGUAUAUGUAUUCUAUUUUAUGCUCCAUGGUGCCCCUGGUCACAACGUGUUAUACCAUUAUUCUUACAGGCGCAAAAUUUAAUAAGUCUUCAAGAAGUGGACGUCCAAAUGGUAGCUGUCGAUAUAAGCAAGGAACACGAACUACAAGAGGCUUAUAAUGUAAUCCACGUUCCUUCGCUACUUCUUCUACAUGAUAACAAAACCGAUACGCUUGGUUUUAUACCCCAAAAAACAUCUGAAAUCGUUAAAUUUGUAUUAAAAUACGCCAAAUAUUUUUUUACUAUUAAAUCUAUCGAACAAUUUAAUUUUUUUCAAAAAAAUCAUGUAGAUGUUCCCAUUUUUUUUUUCUUUUCAAAAAUUUCUGAAUCAAAAGCCCGAAAAAAUUUUAUGGCCUGCUCUGAACAUUACGAAAAUUCCAAUUUUUUAUUGAUCGAUGAUGACCUUCUUGUAACGCUUAUACGAAAAAAAUAUAAUAAGACUUUUCCUACUAGUCUGGAAAACGUUGAAAUAAUAUUUGCACUACGUAGCUUUCCCAACUACACAAAGUUCAUUGAUGAUUCAAUAAUUGAUUUUAAUGGUGAUUUAUCCAAUUUUACUCAGAUUUUAGAUUUUGUUCAAGAAAAUAAGGAGACUACUAUACAUCAUCUCAAAAAUAUUAAUUCCUUGAAUUUUCUUCAAAGCAAACCUUAUAUUUAUAUAUUGUUUUCAAGAGAAAUUAAUUCCAUUAAUGAUACCGAUUAUAUUUAUAAUACAACAUACUUUACAGCUAAAAAAAUGACAUCCAAAUUUAAUUUCAUUUAUUGUGAAACAUCUUCGCCCAUGUACCUACGCCUCACAGAAUUUUUAGAUGUUCAAGAGUCAGAUCCAUUAGAUUCUGUUCGUAUUGCUAAACUUGAAUCAAGUCCUUUCUCUCGUACACGGAUUCAAUAUCAGUUUCGACUCCCCGAGAUUAUAAAAAAAAACUAUACUCAACAACUCCUUAUUGAUUUUCUUACUAAUAUAACAGAAGAUCGAGUUAAGCCUUAUAUAAAGUCAGAGCCUAUCCCUAACCCUAGCGACAAUGAAGGUCCCGUUUUUGUUCUUGUCGCUAGUGAGUAUGAAAGAUUAGUAGAGAAUGCAACGGUUGAUAUCCUUUUACAAAUAUACGCUCCAUGGUGUGGACAUUGUCGCCAAUUCGACAAAACUUUCAAAUUAUUGGCUCACUUAUUUCAACCAUUACAAAAAAAUAUUAAAUUUAUGAAAUUGGAUGGAACAUUGAAUGAAGUGCCUUUUCUGAUUUUUGGAUACCCUACUAUUGUUUUGAUUCCUGCUGAUACAAACACAGCAGGAAAGAAUGAAGCUACUAACAAAAAAAUUUAUCUAUAUCAAGGAACAAGAUCGGCACGAAAUCUUGCUGAAUGGAUUAAAACUCAUAGUUCACAACCCAUUAAUAUUUCAAGUCUUUGGAACACAUAUGAGAAGAGUUUUUCGAAAGAUGUGUCUUUACCGAAUCCUACAAUACUUGAUGAAUUAUGAUAUGAAAUGAAUAAACACUGUCCUAAUAAGUAAAACCGUUUUUUUUACUUAAACGCAGUACUCAAUGGUCUUCCAGUCUUAAAAAGUUGACUAAGUUUAAAUUUAAAAAAUUCAUAAAAUAUUUUGUUUAAUGAUACAUAUUCUUUAAAAUAUUUAUAACAACUUUUUCUUAUUAAAAAAGGAAAUGAAAUUGAAAAAAAAAUGUACUCAAUUUUUUGUACAGGUUUCCCGAAUCUAUUCUAGUCACUCUAUGUGAGUACGAGAUGGAGUUUGAGAGAAAAACUAGAAGGAUUGUCACAAACCAUUAUAAAAAAAUAUUCAACUCAGUCGACUUAGCGGUCGACAUUUCCCCGUUUCUCAUAGUUCGAGCCAGUAGGAUGAACACUUAAUACUCCCUGGUGUCUCAUGGAUCGAGCCAAUAGGAUGAGCUAUCAAUGCUUCAUGGUUUUGAACAAUUUUCACAGACUAAGUGAGACAAUUUCUUGAAUUACAAAGGACAGAAUCAUAAAAUAAUUUUAGUUAGACACAGUGACCAAGGUGUGUAAUAUUGUGACGCAUAUCUGAUGUCACAGCCUGCACCAAUAAAAAAAUCAAAGGGGUUUUUCUUUUUUAGAAGCUUUGAAUUCUUAAUUAAAAUGUCUUUCCCCUGAGUGAUUCUUUAAUAAAUUUUCAAGGUUUCUCAUGAGUGAGGAUGGAAACGAAAGUGUCAAUACUUUAGAACCGUCUGAUUCUACAUUGAAUGGGAAUUUUGACAAGAAUCGUGUAACAAUUACCGAAGCUCGAAGCUUUAUUAAAUGUACUUUUGGACUCAAUUUAGAAGUUAUUCCGGAUGUAUGCUUAGAUAUGAUUCAAAUGCGAAGGCACCUGAUGCAUCAGUUGGAAGAGAAAAAUAAGCUGGUAGCUUCUUUGAAGUCAAAGUGUCAACAAUGUAUCAAGUCUUAUCAAAUGGACAUGGCUAACGUCGAACCUAAACCUCAAUCUACGACAUCUAAAAAAAUUAUCAAGGCAUCCAAAGAUGAUUUGUGUAUGUCUUGUAUCAUUCUACAACUGGUCUUUAUAUGAUGAUCGUUUAACUUCAUAGUUCUAAGUACACCCGAAGCAAAAAAAAAAAAAAAGUCUGUUCUAUCAUCAACUUCGUCCGCAACCUUUGAGUUGAAGAAAG